GACGAACGCUGGCGGCGUGCUUAACACAUGCAAGUCGAACGGUGAAAGCGGAGCUUGCUCCGCUGGAUCAGUGGCGAACGGGUGAGUAACACGUGGGCAACCUGCCCCUCACUUCGGGAUAACUUCGGGAAACCGGGGCUAAUACCGGAUAUGACCUCCUUGGGCAUCCUUGGAGGUGGAAAGUUUUUCGGUGAGGGAUGGGCCCGCGGCCUAUCAGCUUGUUGGUGAGGUAGUGGCUCACCAAGGCGACGACGGGUAGCCGGCCUGAGAGGGCGACCGGCCACACUGGGACUGAGACACGGCCCAGACUCCUACGGGAGGCAGCAGUGGGGAAUAUUGCGCAAUGGGCGAAAGCCUGACGCAGCAACGCCGCGUGCGGGAUGACGGCCUUCGGGUUGUAAACCGCUUUCAGCAGGGAGGAAGCCGCAAGGUGACGGUACCUGCAGAAGAAGCACCGGCUAACUACGUGCCAGCCGCCGCCGUAA
rnacentral:rRNA from 1 species